CAGCAGCCGCGGUAAUACGAAGGGUGCAAGCGUUAAUCGGAAUUACUGGGCGUAAAGCGCGCGUAGGUGGUUCAUUAAGUUGGAUGUGAAAGCCCUGGGCUCAACCUGGGAACUGCAUCCAAAACUGAUGAGCUAGAGUACGGUAGAGGGUAGUGGAAUUUCCUGUGUAGCGGUGAAAUGCGUAGAUAUAGGAAGGAACACCAGUGGCGAAGGCGACUACCUGGACUGAUACUGACACUGAGGUGCGAAAGCGUGGGGAGCAAACAGGAUUAGAUACCCCGGUAGUCCCUGUCUCUUAUAA
rnacentral:rRNA from 1 species